rnacentral:rRNA from 1 species
AUGGAGCCUGUUGAGCUGCUGCGGCUGCCUCAAGUCGCCGCCGUUCAGGACGACCUGCCUUGCCAUUUUGGAACACCUGCUGUGAUUUUUGCCCUGCAGGAGCUGCGGGUCCCCGCGCCUCUACCAUCGCCAAGCUGCCUCCGGUGCUCCAGUGCACCUCUGCUUCAUCAAAUCGCGGCUGUACCUUGCUGGAGAGCUGCCAGGCGCCACUAUAGGGUCGACCUGGCGUUGGAUCUUGCCAGCGCGCAUCCGCCGCCGCGCCUCCUUGCUGCUUUUUGCCACGGUGAGCCGUCAAACGGCCUCUGA